rfam:Mycobacterium kansasii strain 1010001458 NODE_18_length_91533_cov_35.44_ID_1816, whole genome shotgun sequence.
UCGGCACCGAGCGAGGCAUGUUAGCGAUGCCUGGCGAGAGGGAAUCCGGUGAGAAUCCGGAACUGUCCCGCAGCGGUAUGCAGGAACGACCGCCGUCAACAGCACUGGUCACAUGACUGGGAAGCGACGGCCACUAGGAGCACCACCGAGGUGCGCGCCUGUGAGUCCGAAGACCUGCCAGCCGUGCCGGGCGCGC